rnacentral:rRNA from 1 species
CGUACACUCCUGCGGGAGGCAGCAGUGGGGAAUAUUGCACAAUGGGCGCAAGCCUGAUGCAGCCAUGCCGCGUGUAUGAAGAAGGCCUUCGGGUUGUAAAGUACUUUCAGCGGGGAGGAAGGCGAUAAGGUUAAUAACCUUGUCGAUUGACGUUACCCGCAGAAGAAGCACCGGCUAACUCCGUGCCAGCAGCCGCGGUAAUACGGAGGGUGCAAGCGUUAAUCGGAAUUACUGGGCGUAAAGCGCACGCAGGCGGUCUGUCAAGUCGGAUGUGAAAUCCCCGGGCUCAACCUGGGAACUGCAUUCGAAACUGGCAGGCUAGAGUCUUGUAGAGGGGGGUAGAAUUCCAGGUGUAGCGGUGAAAUGCGUAGAGAUCUGGAGGAAUACCGGUGGCGAAGGCGGCCCCCUGGACAAAGACUGACGCUCAGGUGCGAAAGCGUGGGGAGCAAACAGGAUUAGAAACCCCAGUAGUCC